rnacentral:rRNA from 1 species
CAGUCGCCGCGGGAAUACAGAGGAUGCAAGCGUUAUCCGGAAUGAUUGGGCGUAAAGCGUCUGUAGGUGGCUUUUCAAGUCCGCCGUCAAAUCCCAGGGCACAACCCUGGACAGGCGGUGGAAACUACCAAGCUGGAGUACGGUAGGGGCAGAGGGAAUUUCCGGUGGAGCGGUCAAAUGCGUUGAGAUCGGAAAGAACACCAGCGGCGAAAGCACUCUGCUGGGCCGACACCGACACUUAGAGACGAAAGCUAGGGGAGCAAAUGGGAUUAGAUACCCGCGUAGUCCCUGUCUCUUAUAC